AUGGCCGACAACACAUCAUCGGUCCCUGUGCAGAAGAACACGGACUCACCGCAGAUUAGAGACGAUGAGAAAGAACUAGUAAACUCCAUCCUCCAAGAUACGGAGGACUUGGGCCACCGGCUGCUGUCCAUGUCACAGUAUCUUUGGAUUUCCCAUGCCCGCAUCUCCUUGUACACGGCCGAUGAGCUGGUUACCACAACAUCCAGAUUAAAGAAAAUCUCCAUGGAUUUCUACAAGGCUGCCGAGGAGGCGGUGGAGGAGAAGAGGAAGGAAGAGAAGGAGAGGGAUAGGAUGAGGAAGAAGAAGGAUGCAGAGAGGGAUCAGACGAUGCUGACCCACGAAUUCUUGCGUCUCUCCUCCAGUGUCCUGGCUAGACCCAACCUUUACAAGAAUGAGUUGGCGAUGAUGUUUACGGUGGAGGAUGAGGAGGAGUAUGAGAGGGUGAUGGAGGCGGAGAGGGAGAUGGAGAGGCAGAGGGAGAACUGCAGGCGGCGGAGAAGAAAGAAGAGGCCCCCGAAGAAGCCUCCGAUUGUGGAGGUGGAGCACGCUGCUGACGAGCAGGAAACGAAAUCUCAAACGGAGCAACUCAAAGAGUGGAUGGAUGACGAGCUGGAAUUUUUCGCAGGCCACCGUAGCAUCUGGGAACGCUCUAAUGGCAGCAAGUCCGGACGGUGCGGCGGCUUCGAAGAUAAAACCACAUUGAGUCCUAUGCAGUUUACGCACUGCAUACCCGGUAUCAUCCCGCCCCGUGCCGCUGUCACUGGGAGCACAUUGCAGAUCUACUCCUUCAAAAUUGUUGAACUAAGUGAUGACCUCAAAUGGCCACUCAGGGUGUAUGGUGUGGUCGCUGCCCGAGACACCGUGGACCGCAACCGCAACCUUCUCUUCGCUCGGUCAAGAAUUAGGUGCCAAGUACUCACUGAAAAUGACUCUUCUUUGUGCUUGACUGGCCCGUCUCGUGCAAUUCUAGCCGUAGACCCAGUCGACUUUGAAGUCGAACUAAAAAUACAUGAUGGAGGUGAUGAGCGCAAAGAUAGAGAAUUGAUCUGGGCUAUCAACCAUUACGACAUAGCAUACAACGGUGAGCAGCCAUCUUUAACCUUCCAUAGCCCAUUGUGUAGAGCAGAGUUGAGGCUUGAGCGACUUCCUACAACAGUCCAAGCCACUAUCUUGUCUGUUCAUGUUGUUGGAGGGGGGUCUCUUUUUAAAUCUGGAGGCCAAGUUUUUUGUUCAUCGUCUAGUGCAGAUAGUAGUGCUGCCAGACGUGAGAAGAUUGUGUUGCUUGAUUAUGUUGAAACAAAUUCAGCAGCAAAAAAUGAACGACAUCUAGAUGGCUACCUUCCCCUGUCAAGGAAUGUUGUUUCGGUAGAAUUUGGAGGAGGAUUGGAAGUUGUGGUAAAAGUCUAUGGGGGAUCUGGUUGUACAUGCGGUCAUGUUUACUUCCCUUUCCAGUAUUGCAACAUAAGCCAGGGUACAUGUUCCGUCUCUGGCUCUGAGGUGGAGAUCGUUGUUGCUUGGUCCCGGCUUGUCGGAGACAAGAUGGAUAUGUUGAUCGAAGGGUAUACUACCCAGGCAUAG
rnacentral:rRNA from 1 species